AACAGAAGGUGGCUGUUUCAUGCCAGGGUCUGAGAAGCCGCGCUGGUUGAGGACUGGGACUAUUUUCCUGUGAACAUGCGAGGAAGGUUUGCUCCGUGUCCUCCUGGAAUGUGCUCUCCAGGGAAACUUUCCGGUGGUGAGAUCACUCCUGCAUGUAUGAAUCUUUGUUCUGAUACUUCCGACCGCAGUUCAUGCACAUAACCAGUGAAACGUGAAACAGGUUCCAUGGUGAGCAAGAAAUUCUGGAGGUUAUUCUGUUGUCCCCUGCAUCACAACUUAGGCCAACAUAGCAGCAGUCUCAAUGUCAUCAUCCUCCAUAGGGAGCCAAACUCGUUAAUGAACAAGUUACAGAACACGGGGAAAAAACAAAGUACCUGGCUUGGUUUAGGCUCUGACAAGUAUUCCUUAUGGGAAAUCUGUGAAUGCACUGGGUGGAUUCUCACAGGUAUCGGUCUGGGCCAGCGCAUCCUUGCCAGAAGACAGUGAAUCUACACCCAAGAUCUGAGAUUGCUGCCAGUGCACAAGAAAAUAGAAAAAAAGAAGCCCAGUGAUAAAAGACAUGUGGAAUAUUGUUCACCUGAAUGCAGUAAAUUAAAGAAAGUCAACCACAGUGAUCACAGAGUGAAAAAACAACAAACAAAAAGCUACCCAAACUAAUUAAAAUUUUAACACUCUCCCCACCCCCACCCUUAACCCUAGCAGCUUUGAUUGACAUUUCAUAGUUAAGCUAGUCCAUUUGUUUUUAAAGCCAAAGUUCCCACAGCAUAAAAAUAGCACAAUAGCCCCUGCUUGGCAGCUUGUGGACAAGUGCAAGGAGCUUGGAGAAGCGCUGAUGGUUCUAUUGAAGAAGCAGCUGUUUGUGUCUUCACUUCUGACCCGUGGCCGCACUCUGGGCUGGCUGUGCUCAAAGGUCUUUCACUCUCCCCCCUCCAAGCGGCUUGCUAUUCACAAAACAGAAGCCAGGCGUGUGUUGGUUUCAGCUACUUCCAGAAGCAGAUGCGGCAAUUACCUUCAGAGGCAAGCAUGAGAUGAACUUUGAGUGGUGGCCGGCUUUUAGGAUGGUGGUCCAUCCAAGGAGACUUUUAUUGCUGGUAAUCCUUUUAGAUCUUCAGCACCAAUUGAUGGUCUUUACUUCAAGCUAUUGUCAACACAGAUGGCGCUGGGUUUGGAAUGCCAGAGGCAGACAAAUCCUGCC
rnacentral:lncRNA from 1 species